UACGGGGGGGAGCAAGCGUUUGUUCGGAUUUACUGGGCGUAAAGGGCGCGUAGGCGGCCACCGCAAGUCGGUUGUGAAUCUCCGGGCUUAACCCGGAAAGGUCAACCGAUACUGCGGGGCUAGAGUGCAGAAGGGGCAACUGGAAUUCUCGGUGUAGCGGUGAAAUGCGUAGAUAUCGAGAGGAACACCAGAGGUGAGACGGGUUGCUGGGCUGACACUGACGCUGAGGCGCGAAAGCCAGGGAGCAAACGGG
rnacentral:rRNA from 1 species